UACGUAGGGGGCGAGCGUUGUCCGGAUUUAUUGGGCGUAAAGCGCUCGCAGGCGGUCCGAUGCGUCGUGCGUGAAAGCCCCCGGCUCAACUGGGGAGGGUCAUUCGAUACUGAUCGACUCGAAGGCAGGAGAGGGUAGUGGAAUUCCCGGUGUAGUGGUGAAAUGCGUAGAUAUCGGGAGGAACACCAGUGGCGAAGGCGACUACCUGGCCUGUUCUUGACGCUGAGGCGCGAAAGCUAGGGGAGCAAACGGG
rnacentral:rRNA from 1 species